rnacentral:piRNA from 1 species
UAAUAAAAGCUGUGUCUUCUUUCUGAGGGA